GUCAUUUCCUGCAGGAUCGCGAGACAUGAGCGGAAGGCCGCCGGUAGACGGGCUGGCGAACACAGCAGAGACAACGAGGAAGAAGAUUUAGACAACAAAAGGAGCCCGACGUCAGUGUUCGAAGAAGAAGAGAAAGAAAAUAAAAAGAAAGAAAGAAUGCAGGACCUUCAGGAGCUUGCACCAGUUCCUGUCAAAGCCGGCCACAACAUAAAGGGACGAAACUUUGCCAAUGUACGUUUUGCGAAGCUUGGCGCCGCCAGAGGGACAGAGCUCAUUGCCUUCACUUUGUCCUGUCUUGGUUCUCAUGGACUGAACAUGAAGCAUCACGACCGGAUCAUCGCUUUGUAUGCAAUGUGUUCCCAUACGGCAAAAACAAAUCAUCGGAGCGCCUUAUUUAAAGCUUCUGUCUUCUUGUUUCGCUUUUUGCGAACAACGCCGACACCCCGAACUCAGCAGCGGGACUCGGUGACGUCCAUGGUGAAGACGUCGGGUGUGGGCUCGCCGGACGGUCGUCGUCAAUGGAUGAGUGCGUGUUCAGGUUUGAAGACUGAGGCAGAGCGUAGCCAUUUGCCUCUUCCUUCCUUCAAAAGUCCGUACCUCAUCAAUCCGUCAUCACCAUCCAACAUCCCCACAACGUGGUCCUUUCCUCGGCUCAUUGUGCAUUGACGGACUGGAUGCAGGCUCAGCCAGCCCAUGAAAGAUGAACCAACAGCUGUCUGUCGUUACUCCCCCGACCACCAGGAGGACACAACCCACAUAUUGUGGAUGUUUUUUUUUUUCUCUCGCUCUAUUGGUUGAAUAAUGUCAGGGUACACAUGUCUGCACUCAGGAACACUGACUCCCAUUCCCGAAAAUAGCUCCUUUCGCCCGCAACGAUCAAGUCUACCUGACUGCGCACCCAUUCAAUCGUACACGGGUGCACACAUGCGUACAAGCACACCCGACUGCACGAGCUCCAUUAUGUACCACUACCAUCCAGGCUUGUUGUUCAAGAUCAUCAGUAAUGUACCCAAGAUAACAUUCUCCUAACUUGGUUAGGGAACCAGCAGGUUAGCACGACUUACAAAACUCCCGAGUCGUGAGCUUUUGAGAAAUAAAACUUACCUAGCAGACCGGCUCA